UACAGAGGUCUCAAGCGUUGUUCGGAUUCAUUGGGCGUAAAGGGUGCGUAGGCGGCGCGGUAAGUCGGGUGUGAAAUCUUGGAGCUUAACUCCGAAACUGCAUUCGAUACUGCCGUGCUUGAGGACUGGAGAGGAGACUGGAAUUUACGGUGUAGCGGUGAAAUGCGUAGAUAUCGUAAGGAAGACCAGUGGCGAAGGCGGGUCUCUGGACAGUUCCUGACGCUGGGGCACGAAGGCCAGGGGAGCAAACGGG
rnacentral:rRNA from 1 species